rnacentral:rRNA from 1 species
CCUACGGGUGGCUGCAGUGUGUCCUCUUGGACAAUGGGGGAAACCCUGAUCCAGCAAUGCCGCGUGUGUGAAGAAGGCCUGCGGGUUGUAAAGCACUUUCGGUUGGGAAGAAAAGUUUGGCGCCAAUACCGCCGAACCUUGACGUUACUGACAGAAGAAGCACCGGCUAACUCUGUGCCAGCAGCCGCGGUAAUACAGAGGGUGCAAGCGUGCGUCGGAAGUGCUGGGCGUAACAUGUGCGUAGGGUGUCAAAUCCCCGGGCUUAACCUGGGAACUGCAUUCGAUACUACAUGGCUAGAGUAUGGUAGAGGGAAGUGGAAUUUCCGGUGUAGCGGUGAAAUGCGUAGAUAUCGGAAGGAACACCAAUGGCGAAGGCAGCUUCCUGGACUAAUACUGACACUGAGGCACGAAAGCGUGGGUAGCAAACAGGAUUAGAUACCCGUGUAGUC